GAAGAAGACUAGUCUGUAAAAGGAAGCUUACUGGAAUUCUUCUGAGGAGGGAGCCACAUUUCUACUUUGCAUCAUCAGAUUGAACCUCCUGCCACGGGGUACCAGCAGGACAAUGGUGGCUUCCGAUGAAAGACCAUUUACACCAAAAGGAGCUUUUCAUUGAAAAGAACCUUUGGAACUACUGGCUCUGCAAAUCUCAUCAUUUUCAAUGUCAUGAAAAGAAAAAAAAAAAAGCUGUGUGCUUCUGUGUAAAGCAAGUUUAAUUUAACCAAGAG